rnacentral:rRNA from 1 species
GAUGAAACGCUGACAGAAUGCUUAACACAUGCAAGUCAACUUGAACUUCGGUUUGGGUGGCGGACGGGUGAGUAACGCGUAAAGAACUUGCCUCACAGAUAGGGACAACAUUUGGAAACGAAUGCUAAUACCUGAUAUUAUGAUUUUAGGGCAUCCUAGAAUUAUGAAAGCUAUAUGCGCUGUGAGAGAGCUUUGCGUCCCAUUAGCUAGUUGGAGAGGUAACGGCUCACCAAGGCGAUGAUGGGUAGCCGGCCUGAGAGGGUGAUCGGCCACAAGGGGACUGAGACACGGCCCUUACUCCUACGGGAGGCAGCAGUGGGGAAUAUUGGACAAUGGACCAAGAGUCUGAUCCAGCAAUUCUGUGUGCACGAUGAAGUUUUUCGGAAUGUAAAGUGCUUUCAGUUGGGAAGAAAAAAAUGACGGUACCAACAGAAGAAGUGACGGCUAAAUACGUGCCAGCAGCCGCGGUAAUACGUAUGUCACAAGCGUUAUCCGGAUUUAUUGGGCGUAAAGCGCGUCUAGGUGGUUAUGUAAGUCUGAUGUGAAAAUGCAGGGCUCAACUCUGUAUUGCGUUGGAAACUGUGUAACUAGAGUACUGGAGAGGUAAGCGGAACUACAGGUGUAGAGGUGAAAUUCGUAGAUAUUUGUAGGAAUGCCGAUGGGGAAGCCAGCUUACUGGACAGAUACUGACGCUGAAGCGCGAAAGCGUGGGUAGCAAACAGG